rnacentral:rRNA from 1 species
CCCGUCACACCACGAGAGUUUGUAACACCCGAAGCCGGUGGAGUAACCUUUUAGGAGCUAGCCGUCGAAGGUGGGACAAAUGAUUGGGGUGAAGUCGUAACAAGGUAGCCGUAUCGGAAGGUGCGGCUGGAUCACCUCCUUUCUAAGGA